AAGAUACUAGUAAAACAAGACAUUAUACCUCCUUGUCAAGGAGAAGUUGUAGGUUCAACCCCUUCGUUUCUUA
rnacentral:tRNA from 1 species